GCCGCCGCGCCCAGCCCGCACCUGCCCGGUGAAUAAUGCACUAGAAUGUCAGCGCUGAGAAAGGAUUUCUCAUCCUCUGAAGCACGAGAGUAGCUACCACGAGCUCACCUACUGCUACUACAUGGGACUGCCUGCAGCGGGCACGAGGCUUAGACAUUAUGGGGACAAUUCAGGUGCUGCCUGGCAUACUGCAGAAGCAUUGCUGUAUUUUACCUGACCGGAA
rnacentral:lncRNA from 1 species